AUCUACUGUCUUGUUGGCACAGAGUUUCAGAAACUGUGGAGGAGUGUCACUGUGGAUUCAAUGGAUGAGGAGAAAAUUGAAGAAUAUCUGAAGCGACAGGGUAUUUCUUCCAUGCAGGAAUCCGGACCAAAGAAAGUGGCCCCUAUCCAGAGAAGGAAAAAGCCUGCUUCACAGAAAAAGCGACGAUUUAAGACUCAUAACGAACACAUGGCUGGAGUGCUGAAGGACUACUCUGACAUUGCUCCUGGCAAAUAGUGAACAGUUUUGUAGGUGAGCAAAGAGUUACAAAUACAAAGUCAAGAUCUUUCUUGUUGCUACUGGGAUCUGAAGACUGUCUUCCCAUUCUACUUCUUAGGACUGAGGAGAGGAGCAGUUCCGUUUACAGAACAAGUACAAAUUACCAAACUCAAAGCUUAUUCUAACUGAAUAGGCUGAUGAGAAAUGUGAUGUUCCCUGUUAACUUCUCUUACUUCUUGGGGGAGAGGCCUGCAGGUGUCUUUGCUGUUUAUCUCUUCUAAGUGGUUCCUGGUUCCAUUUUCCCUUUUACUCCUUUAGAACAAGUUUGCAGAUAGUCUUGAAUGCAAUAUUUGUUUAUUCCAAAGUAACAUAUUUAUAAUAAAAUCAUUGCAGAAGGAAUUGCAGAAGUUAGUGAA